rnacentral:rRNA from 1 species
UACGUAGGGUGCGAGCGUUAAUCGGAAUUACUGGGCGUAAAGGGUGCGCAGGCGGUUCUGUAAGUCAGAUGUGAAAUCCCCGGGCUUAACCUGGGAAUUGCGUUUGAAACUACAGGGCUAGAGUGUAGCAGAGGGGGGUGGAAUUCCAUGUGUAGCAGUGAAAUGCGUAGAGAUAUGGAAGAACAUCGAUGGCGAAGGCAGCCCCCUGGGUUAACACUGACGCUCAGGCACGAAAGCGUGGGGAGCAAACAGG